GCCAAGUCGCGUGAAGGAUGAAGGAUCUAUGGUUUGUAAACUUCUUUUAUAUGGGAAUAAAGUGAGGAACGUGUUCCUUUUUGUAUGUACCAUAUGAAUAAGCAUCGGCUAACUCCGUGCCAGCAGCCGCGGUAAUACGGAGGAUGCGAGCGUUAUCCGGAUUUAUUGGGUUUAAAGGGUGCGUAGGUGGUUAAUUAAGUCAGCGGUGAAAGUUUGUGGCUCAACCAUAAAAUUGCCGUUGAAACUGGUUGACUUGAGUAUAUUUGAGGUAGGCGGAAUGCGUGGUGUAGCGGUGAAAUGCAUAGAUAUCACGCAGAACUCCGAUUGCGAAGGCAGCUUACUAAACUAUAACUGACACUGAAGCACGAAAGCGUGGGGAUCAAACAGGAUUAGAUACCCUGGUAGUCCACGCAGUAAACGAUGAUUACUAGCUGUUUGCGAUACACAGUAAGCGGCACAGCGAAAGCGUUAAGUAAUCCACCUGGGGAGUACGCCGGCAACGGUGAAACUCA
rnacentral:rRNA from 1 species